CAUCUAUGCACAUUUUCAUACACACCAACCCGUUAAUAUUUCUCGCCACGAAAGAGGAAAUUUCCCUUCUUUUUUUUCAUUUUGUGAACCCAUUUCACACCAUGGUCUCCGAGUUGAGCCAAUCGAAAAAUGUCUGCGUGAUCGGGGCAGGACCGUCAGGGCUAGUGGCGGCGAGAGAGCUGAGGAAAGAAGGUCAUAGGGUGGUGGUUUUGGAGCAAAAACACGAUGUUGGUGGACAAUGGUUGUAUGAACCAAAUGUAGAGAAAGAAGAUCGUUUAGGGAGGAACAAGUUCUUAGAAGUGCAUAGUAGUAUUUAUGCGUCUCUUAGAUUAGUAUCCCCUAGGGAGAUCAUGGGUUACACAGAUUUCCCAUUCAUGGUGAAGAAAGGUAGAGAUAUGAGGAGAUUUCCCGGCCAUAAGGAACUUUGGUUAUAUCUUAAGGAUUUUUGUGAUCACUUUGAUUUAAGGAAGAUGAUAAGGUUUAAUACUAGAGUAGAGUAUGUAGGAAUAUUGGAUUAUGGCGAGUUUAAAGAAGAUUUGAAAUGGGUUGUAAAGAGUAGAGAAGAAAACAAUGGAAAAAAAGAAGUGGAAGAGGUUUUUGAUGCGGUGGUUGUCGCUACUGGUCAUUACUCUCAUCCUAGGAUGCCUACCAUUAAAGGUCUCUGCAAAAAAAAAAAACACCUCUCUGUUUCAAUCUCCAAUUAUUCUGAUCAGCGGAAGAAAGAAAGUCACUUUAGACUGAAAAUGAAUAGAGAAUCUAUUCAUGAAUUUUCUUCACGCUAGCUAGCUCAAAAGUUACAGUCAAAUCAUCAAGAAAAAGAAGGAAAACGUUUAUGUAACUAAUUAGUCAUUGGCAGAAGUAGCACAUUUUUCUUUUCAGAUUCUUUGACGAUUUUCUCUUUUUCUUUUCUUGCUUUUAAUGUUAACAUCUGUUUCUGUUUUGGUCAAUAAUUUGGAUGUUAUCUGUAUGUUUAAUUCAUUCUUGAAGGGAUGGAUACAUGGAAGAGGAAGCAUAUGCACAGUCACAUUUACAGGGUUCCAGAGCCAUUUCGCAAUGAGGUAGUUGUGGUUGUGGGGAAUUCACUAAGUGGGCAAGAUAUAUCUAUGGAGCUGGUACAAGUAGCAAAGGACGUUCACCUCAGUGCCAAAUCCCUUGAGAUCACACCCGGUUUAUCCAAAGUCAUCUCCCAUCAUGAAAACUUGCAUCUUCGUCCACAGAUAGAAUUCCUUGAAGAAGAUGGGAGGGUGGUAUUUGCAGAUGGGUCUCAGGUCAUUGCCGACACCAUCUUAUACUGCACAGGGUAUACGUACACAUUCCCAUUUCUUGACACUAAAGGAAUGGUAAGUGUGGAAGAUGGUGGUAGAGUGGGACCUCUGUAUGAGCAUACCUUUCCUCCAUCACUUGCUCCCUCUCUGUCUUUUGUAGGCAUACCUAGAAAGAUCAUAGGGUUCCCUUUCUUUGAAUCACAAGCAAAAUGGAUAGCUCAACUGCUAUCUGGGAAAAGAAGACUUCCAUCAUGGGAUGACAUGAUGCUUGCCAUUAAGGAAUUUCAUCAAUCAAGGGAUGCUGCCGGUGUUCCUAAGCAUAAAACCCAUGACAUUGCAGAUUUUGAGUAUUGUGACAGAUAUGCAGAUCAUGUUGGAUUCCCACACUUGGAAGAAUGGAGGAAACAGCUCUGCUUAUCGGCCAUAGUAAAUGCUGAUGCCAACUUGGAGACAUACCGUGAUUCCUUGGAUGACCAUGACCUGCUUCAAGAGGCUUUUCAAAGUACUCAUUUCACUCCACUACUUGGGGUUCCAGAUUUCACUGUUUAGACUUAUUUUCUGUGUUUUGGUUAGACCACUCUUUUCAAUAUCUAUCCAUCCAUGAUUCAUUGUUUAAUGUGGAAGGGAAAAAAACUUGACUGUAAUUUAAAUCCAAAAAAAUAUAUAAUAUAAUUGAAACCACUUUGUCUCUGAACCUUCUAUCCAUUGUAUUCUCUCCAACUAGUUUCUUAGGGGAAAAAAUAUAUGAGUUGGUGAGUGGGGCUAGGGGAUUUCCUCAAAUAUUAAGAAAUAAUGAUUGAUUAUAACUCUAGCAUGAUCUUCACGUACAAAUGAUCACACAAAAUAUUUCAUGUACAAGCAUUUCCAUUGCUCACUAUAAAUUCAACCAGACGGGAGGAGCACGCUCGUUUUGUCCUUUUCCUCUACGAUGCCCACCAAAUUCCAAUUAUCAGUCAUAUACAACAUCUUCCAUGUAUAAGACCAUCUCAUGGUUCACUUGCUAUUAACUCGCCCCAAAAACCAUAAAAGCAAAGUGUUUAACUAUACUUGGUUCAAAAUUAGCCGAAGGUUACUAGCAGGACAUCUCUGCCCCCUGCGCCGUCUUGUUAUCUUCCCCCACCCUAUUAGGCUGCUCUCCUUGAUGCUGUGUUCGCCAUUUGUAGUUUGCUGCUUCGACAGUGCGCACAAUGAGGUUUCUGCCUUGACAGAAGAUACUGAAAACCUCCUCCUCCUCCCACUUGUCCACCCAUUUCUACCUGUUCUUCUGGCAUCUGUAUUUUGAUGAGCAGCUUCAAUUAGCCCCCCUAUUGCCUGAAGAUCCUCAGUUAUUUCAUACCUUGACAAAGAGGCAAGACUUGGGAGAAUUUCACUUUGAAAGUCCUUCCGCUGCUGCCCCCAUCUUCUUGUCCGGCCUCUUGGCAGAAUUGGCAAUGAAGGUGAAGACGCUGCUUCCUCUUUUAAGAUACUGGCCUUGCAACAAAACUGUUCUACCUUUGUCUCCUUAAGUUUCAAUGUCAUGGCCUCAAAGUAGUCAAUCCCAUCAGAAAGAUUCUCGUCAUGGUGAUCAGUGUUCUUAAAACUCAAAACCACACCAAAUUCACUCUCUGGAUCAUCUACUACAGAAGACGCUAUCUUGGAAAACCAAUAAAGAGGGUCAUUCUGUGAAGCCCCAGCCGGUUUGGAAGUCAUUAUCUCUGUGUAGGUUUGAACCUGAGAUGAUGACAUGGAAACUAUAGUCUCUGCUGCAACUGUAAUUAGAUCCUCUAGCAGAUCCCUACUUUCUUGUUUUGGAAGUUCACAGGGCAUCUCAAGUUGAUUUUCAUCUGAUUCUCCCCCAGGUGGAGAAGUCUCCUUGUUUUCUGGACUUGCAGGACCCUGAAAAUCUAUUUCUGUUGACAGAGUGGGCAUUGGUGAAGAAUCUUCAUCAUUUAUGCACGAGUUGAGGUCAACAUGAAAUCCAAAGCCUGAAGAUAUAUUAUCAUGUUUACUCCCAAAAACUGGGUCAUUUUUGGUUAGCUGUUCUCCUGAGUCAGGCAUAGAAUAAUCCAAGUGGAGUGAUUUAUUGGAAUUCACAAUAUGUGCUGGGUUUGUUCUAUGCAAAGCUAAGCCCCCUGUUGACUCUUUACAUUUCUCUUCACCGUCUGUUAUCCAAAUACCAUGGGCAGCCACAUCUGAAGAACAGCUAGGAGACAUGGAAUUCAGGUCUAUACCCCUUGUCAACUUUAGAUCCACAGAACCCUUAGUGUGCUUUUGAGUGUUACUAGCUUCAGAUGCAAACUCAUUGUCACCAUCACAAGAGCUGCUUUGAGCACUUAUACUACAAAAUGUUGGUCCGGAUUCAAGAUUUAUAACACUGCAAGACUUGCCUCCAGGAAUCUCGGGGCUUCUGAACUUAGAGCUUCUGCUCAACGGUACAGAGUUAAAACAUGGAAGUGCUUGAACUGCUAUAGGGGUCCUCACAAUGUCACGUGUAUGCUUUCUCCAAGAUGAAACCAAAGAUGAAUCAUGAUUCUUUACAUCAUCCAGAGGAAUAAGUUCACUUGAAGUAUGCUUGCAAGCAGUUGCAACCUUUUCAGGAUAGCUUUCUAAACCAAAAUCGCUCCUUUCUCUGUGCAAUUUUCCACUGUUUAAAUUCAAAAGAUAAGAAGUUGAAAUUUCAUGGGCUUGCUCAAUCUCAUCAUCUUCAGAUGAUGUGGACAGUGUUUCUGUACAAAUCCUUUCAGGGAAAGAAUUCAUGUCACUGCUAUGGUCUAGGACAGGACCUAGAAAAUCAUUGGAUUCAGGAUCUACUUCUUCCUCAAGCUUGAUGGGUUCAUUCAAAUCAGCUAGGCAUUUGGUUUUCCUAGAAAAUGGAGCUUGAGCCAUACUAUCAUCUUGGAAAACCAAAUUACCAUCACUAAUGCCUCGAAAUAGUUCUACAUAACUCUUUUGCACAUCCUCAACCAUGCUUUUCAUAGGAUAACCUGACACCUCAGGAGGAGCUGUCUCACUAGCUAAAGAUUCCUCUUCUUCACUAUCAAUGUACUCAUCAGCUGGAAGUUCCAGAUCCAAUAUCCUUUUACCAACUUUCUUGCAUUUAGACUCCAACAACCCGGUUUCUUUUCUAGAGCCUUCAGUUUGAAAAGUACUGCAACCAUCUUGUAUGAUCUUUCCUUCAACAUAAUUUAAAUGCAAUUGGCUGUUUUCAGUACCUGAAAUGGAAGACUGAAUAAAAGCAGGAUUCAGCCAGGGCAAGGAAGAAGCUUUGUGGGUCCUUUGGAAACACUCAAAUGAGUUUUCAGAGAAGAUUUGAUUCGACUGUGGGGUUUCUAGCCGUAGAUGACGUCCAUGAAGCUCAACCCUUUUCAUUUCAGCCAUUAAUUCUCUCUGUCUGUUGUAAAGGCGAUGGAGUUCAUGGAUCUGAUCCCUAAAUAUAGCUUCAUGCCGGAGCAUUGUUUGCUUCACUUUUUCCUUGUAUGUCAAAUAGUGGUCGGGAAAUGGUGAUGCCAAGUUCCCAUUGAAGUAGUGUCCAUUCUUUGAGAUUUUAUCAACAUUAUUUGAGGGCCAGCUACUACAACUAGCAUUUAAAUUAAGAUCCCUAGUGGAACAAUACCCUGGGAAGUAAUGGCACUGCAUAUCUGCUUGCAUUCCUAGCAUUGCCAUGAAACUUGGAGUAUAAAUCUCAAUUUAUCUCAGAGAAAGCUAUAAUGGACCAUCUUCGUACCAUUACUCCAUUAGGAGAGAAUUCUUGAUAAUUAAAAAGAAAACCAAUCCAUUCUUCAAAACCCACCAAGGAAUCACUCGUUAAAAGAGCUCACAGCACUAAAAGCCAACAAAAGAAAGCAAAAUAUCAAAGUGGGCGUGUUUAGAAAAAGCUGAUAGAUCAGAAAACAGAAGAGUUAGUGACCUCAAAAGAGCCAAACCACAAAGUAGUCAUUUUGGAAACACCAAGAAAAGUAGAAGAAAUGAGGAUUUUGGAUCUGCUGGGCCAUUCUCUCAAGAAAGAUUUAGAGAGAGAGAAAACCCCAUAAAAAGAAAUCCACACAGAAACAAACGAAACUUACAUGAGAAGAGACAUGAAAGUUGUCAACAUUAUUUUCUCUCUCAUUUCUUGUUGUUUUGCGUGAGAGAAAAUAAUGGGAAAUGGGCAUGUUUUAAAGAAAGAAACUCCAGAUUCUGUCCAUAAAUAAAAUUUUUCUUGAGAAUUUUCAA
rnacentral:misc_RNA from 1 species